rnacentral:rRNA from 1 species
CCUACGGGAGGCAGCAGUGAGGAAUAUUGGUCAAUGGGCGCGAGCCUGAACCAGCCAAGUCGCGUGAAGGAUGACUGCCCUAUGGGUUGUAAACCUCUUUUAUCAGGGAAUAAAGUGAGGCACGUGUGCCUCUUCGUAUGUACCUUAUGAAUAAGGAUCGGCUAACGCCGUGCCAGCAGCCGCGGUAAUACUGAGGAUCCGAGCGUUAUCCGGAUUUAUUGGGUUUAAAGGGAGCGUAGGUGGGUUGUUAAGUCAGUUGUGAAAGUUUGCGGCUCAACCAUAGAAUUGCAUUUGAUACUGGCAGUCUUGAGUACAGUUGAGGUAGGCGGAAUGCGUGGUGUAGCGGUGAAAUGCUUAGAUAUCACGAAGAACUCCGAUUGCGAAGGCAGCUUACUAAGCUGCCACUGACGUUGAUGCUCGAAAGUGUGGGUAUCGAACAGGAUUAGAUACCCCUGUAGUC